rnacentral:sRNA from 1 species
UAGGACAGGUACAGCAUGGCAGUGCAAGCUAUGUCCACACUUCCUCAUCAGUGUGCCUCAGCUCUGACCUGGAGGGACCACCUCAAGA